UACGGGGGGGGCAAGCGUUGUUCGGAUUUACUGGGCGUAAAGGGCGCGUAGGCGGCGCAACAAGUCACUUGUGAAAUCUCCGGGCUUAACCCGGAGCGGCCAAGUGAUACUGUCGUGCUAGAGUGCGGAAGGGGCUACUGGAAUUCUCGGUGUAGCGGUGAAAUGCGUAGGUAUCGAGAGGAACACCUGCGGCGAAGGCGGGUAGCUGGGCCGACACUGACGCUGAAGCGCGAAAGCUAGGGUAGCAAACGGG
rnacentral:rRNA from 1 species